CAGUCGUGAGGAAGGUGGUGUCGUUAAUAGCMGCAUUAKUUGACGUUAGCGACAGAAGAAGCACCGGCUAACUCCGUGCCAGCAGCCGCGGUAAUACGGAGGGUGCGAGCGUUAAUCGGAAUUACUGGGCGUAAAGCGCAUGCAGGYGGUUUGUUAAGUCAGAUGUGAAAGCCCGGGGCUCAACCUCGGAAUAGCAUUUGAAACUGGCAGACUAGAGUACUGUAGAGGGGGGUAGAAUUUCAGGUGUAGCGGUGAAAUGCGUAGAGAUCUGAAGGAAUACCGGUGGCGAAGGCGGCCCCCUGGACAGAUACUGACACUCAGAUGCGAAAGCGUGGGGAGCAAACAGGAUUAGAUACCCUGGUAGUCCACGCCGUAAACGAUGUCUACUUGGAGGUUGUGGCCUUGAGCCGUGGCUUUCGGAGCUAACGCGUUAAGUAGACCGCCUGGGGAGGACGAUCUCAA
rnacentral:rRNA from 1 species